rnacentral:rRNA from 1 species
GACGAACGCUGGCGGCGUGCUUAAUACAUGCAAGUCGAACGGAAAGGCCCUGCUUUUGUGUGGUGCUCGAGUGGCGAACGGGUGAGUAACACGUGAGUAACCUUCCCUGUACUUUGGGAUAACUUCAGGCAACUGGUGCUACUACCGGAUAGGAGCUCCUGCUGCAGGGUGGGGGUUGGAAAUUUUCGGCGGUUGGGGAUGGACGCGCGGCUUAUCAGCUUGUGGGGUGGGUAGUGGCUUACCAAGUCUUUGACGGGUAGCCGGCCUGAGAGGGUGACCGGCCACAUUGGGACUGAGAUACGGCCCAGACUGCUACGGGAGGCAGCAGUGGGGAAUAUUGUCCAAUGGGCGGAAGCCUGAUGAAGAAACGCCGCGUGCGGGAUGAAGGCUUUCGGGUUGUAAACCGCUUUAGCCUGUGACGAAGCGUGAGUGACGGUAAUGGGUAAAGAAGCACCGGCUAACUACGUG